rnacentral:rRNA from 1 species
GAUUAUGGCUCAGAACGAACGCUGGCGGCAUGCCUAACACAUGCAAGUCGAACGAGACCUUCGGGUCUAGUGGCGCACGGGUGCGUAACGCGUGGGAAUCUGCCCCUCGGUUGGGAAUAACACAGAGAAAUUUGUGCUAAUACCUUAUAAUGUCUUCGGACCAAAGAUUUAUCGCCGAGGGAUGAGCCCGCGUAGGAUUAGGUAGUUGGUGGGGUAAUGGCCUACCAAGCCGACGAUCCUUAGCUGGUCUGAGAGGAUGAUCAGCCACACUGGGACUGAGACACGGCCCAGACUCCUACGGGAGGCAGCAGUGGGGAAUAUUGGACAAUGGGCGAAAGCCUGAUCCCAGCAAUGCCGCGUGAGUGAUGAAGGCCUUAGGGUUGUAAAGCUCUUUUACCCGGGAUGAUAAUGACAGUACCGGGAGAAUAAGCUCCGGCUAACUCCGUGCCAGCCGCCGC